rnacentral:lncRNA from 1 species
CUCAGCAAAGGGUCUUCUGUGUUGCUGACUGGCCAUGGAGUCUCAAUCUUAAGGGUCAUAGAGGACUUUGACAAAUGGAAGGACCAUGUGAAAGAGAAAGGCUUUGAGUUUUGUUUCAAAGCAUACCAUGAGAAGGUUCGUCUUGCAACUCGACCUUGCUGCCGCCUAGAUAUUCCAGGCUCUACCGGGAAGGUCCCAGACACAAUGAAAUGCCCAGAUUGCCACCGUAGCAUGGAGACUUUUAUCAGUUACAAGUGCUGCCACAUUGAUGGCCCUAAUGCACAUCAUUAAAUUAAGUUUAUGUGGCUAAUCAGUUAAUUAACUAGUAUAUUGUAAUGGCUAGAAUAAAGGGCAUAUAGCUAGCUCAUGCAUUUUGAUGCCUGUAAUGUGUGGAGUUGUGAUUGUAAUUUCGUCCUACUAUGUUUUCUUGUGGUCAGAGUUGUGGUAAUGUGAUGUAUGAUUUGUUGGCUAAUAAUAAUAUUUGAAUAAUUUCAAAGUACUGUUUUUGGUUGUAUACUAAUUUACUUGGGGCAGAAUAAAUUUCCGCCCUAAACAAAGGAGGGGCGGAUUAAAGAAGCGACCUUAAAAAAGUGCCUCUAAUAGUAUUAGUGGUGCAUAUUUUUGUAAAUCCGCCUUUAUUGUUUUUCUUGAUAUAUAUGUUACUAUAAUAGGGGCUGUUUUUUUUUUUUUUGGGUUCAAACAAAAGAGAAAUUCCAUUAAAACUGAAUACCAACUUGGUCCCAACAGUGUACCUCUCAUGCAGUAUGACAGGACCCGAUCCAAAUUCUGCUUUGAAAUCUGAGUCAGACCCUGUGCGUGUCCGACACCUGGUGAAUGUCGGGCACAAAUGACCUAUUUGCCCUUCUAUACAAAACACGAUAAAAACAACAAGGUUGACUUCUACCGAAAAACCGGCAGAAUUUCCCUUGUAACUGGCUCAAUACCAAAACAUUUUCACCUGCCAAAUAAGUAUACAUAUCUACAACCAACUGCCAGCAUACGUAUAUAUACAUUCCAACAGUUCAAUUCACAGUCUAUGACAAAAUAUCAGAGCGACUACUAAGAAUUUACAAAGGAGUGAAUCUUUUUACAAAACAAAAAUCCUACAUCAAAGAAAGGCGCGGAAGAUGGGAAGUGGCCCGGUGGUGGAUUCCUGUGCACGUCUACUGCCUGGGGGCGCAAAACAACAAAAAGGGUGAGAGGACCCAAAAAUAAAGUUUAGAACAUAACAUAUGAACAUACUAACCCCACUUGUAAAAACUAGGGGUGGGCACUCAAACUGACGAAUCGGAAAUCCGAACCAAACCGCAUCGAACCAAACCGGAAAAAAAUCGAGUUGACCAAAAAGUCAAAAACCGGUCAAAAAUCGAACCGGACCGGUUUGGACCGGUUCCAGAUCCAGUUUCAUGUCUUUAAAAACCGAACCGGGCCGAACCGAACCGGUGAAACUAAAAAAAUAUAUAAUUUCAAUAUAUAUUUACAUUUAAUGCUAUAUUUUUAAUUUCAUUAAAAAAAACUAAUAUUUAUCCAAGUUCAAUGUCAAAAUAUCUCUCUUUUCCCACUUUAAUAUUUAUUUUUUAUAUGAAAUUGAAUAAUUUGUUAAUUUUCAAGUAAAAAAAUAAUAUUUCAGUUGAGAAUUGUAUUAAAAAAUAAUUUAAAAAAAUAAUUUUUAUAAUCCGGUUCAAAACCGAACCGGAACCGGAACCGGACCGAAACCGGUUCAAACCAAACCGGACAGUUUUUGAAAUUUUUUUUAUUAAAACCGAACCGAACCAAACCGGAUAAAUAGUAUCGGAUCGGUUCUAAUUUGAGGCAAAAACCGGUCCAAACCGAACCGUGCCCACCCCUAGUAAAAACAGUUAUACAAACUAGCUUAUUCUCUUUAUUUCUGAAAUCCAUGCAUGUAUAUAACUAUACAUUUGAAAACAGUUGAAAACUAUCACCUAGGUGUACCCCUAUUUCCGUCAAAUCCUUAUAUCCGUCAAUGCCUUGCAUCACCAUGGGUGACACAUACUCGCAGGUCUCAGUGACACGAGGUCAGUCCGAGCCGCAACUCGCAGGAUUCAGGGAACCGUAGUCCACCUUUAUCCGCAUUACUCGCUCCACACGAGUUCGAGUACCAAAGAACUCGUGGGGCAACUGUCAAGCAUGCUGACUAAACCGAAGGCAACAAAUAUAAUCCGAAGGCAACAUUUAAUAUCUGGGUACCAGGUGGUUUAAGAAAAUAUAAAGUUUCUGAAGAAAAUCUGUUGAAUAUUAACUUUCUGUAACCUUUAAAAUUCUGCUGCCAUUUAUCUGAUAAUUAACGGGAAUAUCUGUUCCUAUAAGCUUUAAAGGAAAUUUCACUCGGCAGCAUGCAACAUAAAAUAUUUUACAGAAUAAAACAGCUGAUAACUGAAACUGAACUGCUUAAAUUCAUUUAUGAAAACAAAGAGUCCACUCACUGAUAGUCUGAGCUCACUGGACCUCUUGAAGGUCCCUCCUGCGGGUCAACUGGUGUCCGGGUGCCUAAUUCAAUGACCAUAAUAGUCUAUUAAUAUAAUAUAGUAUUAAAUUAAAAACUCUACCCCCGGCUCCUAAACGUACGUGCGUGAAUUUAAAGUGAUCCCUAUGCCCAGAAAAGCUUUCCUUCCACGUGGGAUAGUUUAGCGGUAUCUUGGGACUCAAAAAGCGCUAAAGUCCAAAAAGUCAAUCCGAGACCCCAUGGGUCCAUGACCUCAUAAUAUGAUCCGGAAGCCGCUAGAAGGUCCAAUAUGUCUAGGACACAUGUCCCGAGGGUAUUGGUGUCGAUCGGACGGUCGGAUUACUCACGAUCGUGUAAUCGCAUAAUUUCUAAACCCUAGCCCUGGGGUUCGCGAUUUUGGAGUAUCCGGGACUCCGAUUCACAAUCCGUCGAAUCCUACACGUUUCUAAAAUUAUCUAGAACAACAUAUCUGAACUUGAUUACGAUCCAAAGGCUCAACAGUAUUGAACCCGAUAAUCGCACAAUAUAGAAAAUCCGUUCAAGGCUCAAACGGUAUCCAAAUUGAGAUCCGUGAAGUCCUAUGCGCUCAUGACAACCUAAGGAUCGCAUCAGGACACAGUGCCACUGCACCACCCUCGCCCACGCCCCGCCGCAAGCGCCGGCAGUGAUGGGUGUCCAAAGCGAUAACGCAUUGCCGGAAAAUCUCAAAACCAAGGCUCCAAACUCCUAUCCUAGGUAUAACACCAUAUUUGGAACCUCUUUUGUUCUUGGACCAACCCCAAAAACUGACCGGACGUGGCCGAACACAGAGGCCGAAAACCGGCCGAAUUCCAAUUUGAAAACUGAGCUAGCUACGGUGAAAAUCAGUGCAAACCUACCCAACCAUCAGCUAGAGCAUGGAAAAUAGGUAGAAAUUCAUACCUUACUCGAUAAAUUUGGAGGAGAAUUGAAGGAGAACGAACGGUUACAAAACUAUGCAAAACCGGCUCGUUUUUGGACGGAAUCCGGCGACUACAGCGACGGCUUGCAGCGGAGAGUGGUCGGAGCUUGAAGACGGAACCGAGCUGGUUCUAUUGGCGCCGACGGCAGGGGCAGAGGUGGUCGGUGGCGGGAGUUAUGGUGGUUGGAAGGUGACGGCUGGAGGUAGACAGCGGGAGAGGGAGAGAGAAAGAGAGAGAAGCUGAGGUUUUAUCAAAAAUCUGAUUUUUCCAAUUUACCGUUUUGCCAUUCGUGAUAUUUUAAUCGUAUUUUCUUCGUUAAAGCUCCGAUUCGAGCUCACUUCGUGUCUACGAACUCGUUUCGUCGUGCUCUACGCAACGGUGUAUGUGGAAUUGUCAAAUUCCUUUUCGGUCAAAAAGUCAACUUUGAGGUCAUAAUUUAUUCAAACGGCAAAAUUGUCUUUCCUCAUCAUAAUAUACUAAUUAUAAAUGAAUUUUAAGUUUGGGUCAUUACACAGUAGAUACAAAACACUACAAAAAAUAGUUCCAUUAUUUUUUGAAGCAGAAAAUGAUAGUUUAGAAAAGAGAAGAGAAGAAUUCAAGAAUGAAUUUGCAAGAGAGAAACAUAAGACAGAAUUCAAGAGGGUGAAUUCUUGAGUAUUUACAAGGAUAUUAAAGGGUUUAAGCAAAAGGGAGAGAGAAAUUAACACCUAGGGUUUGAGAUGAUAUAGAGCUAAAGGGGUUCUUGUUGUAACCAAAGUUCUUCAUGUUCUUCUAUUGAAAUUUCUCAAGGGGAUCACCAAAGAGGACAUAGGCACGAGGCCGAACCUCUAUUCUUGUGUGUUUGCUUUACUCUUUUCAUGGUGUGUGCGUGUUUUAUUCUCAUGGGUUUGUAUGUGUGUCGUCGCAUAGUCCAUCAACGACAAGAUUUUGGAGUGUUUUCACACAACAAGUGGUUUCAAAGCUACUAUUCGAGACAUGCUCUUAUAGUUUUAAGAGUGUUUGCAAGUGUUGACGAUGACCGACGACAAGAAGGCAGAAAAGAAAAUGAUGCAACCACAAACGGAUAGCGUGAAGCUCGAGGUGAAGAUAUUCACAAGGAAUGAGAAAUUCACGCUAUGACAAAGAAAAAUGAAACAUGACCCAGCCCAGAAAGGUCCAACCAUUAAUAUUAUCUUGGUAGGUGAGGAGAAAAGGCUGGAAACCAUGACAACGGAGGAGAGGGACAUGCUCAGAGAGUUGGCUAGUAGGUCCAUCAAGGUGAUGGAAGCACAACAAAGCAAACACGGGAAAAGCUCAAACGGAUGUUUGAAGGGAAGUCAAAAUCAAACAAACGCUUCAUGAAGGAAGAGCUCCUAAAUCUUCGGAUGAAGGAGAGUGGAAAUCUCUUGGAGCAUCUUUGCACUUAUAAUAGGAGUAUUGUGGACUUACAAAAGGUGGACGUGGCUUAUAGCAUGGAGGAUGAGGCAUUGAUGUUGUUGGCAUCUUUGCCUCCAUCAUAUGAACACUUCCGGACUACACUGAUGAUAAAAAAGAGUACUUUAAAUUUUGAGGAAGUGGUGCAAGACUUGGCGCAUCACAGGUUGGCUCAAAGUUUUGGAGAUAGCUUUCAAGGUGCUCGUAUAUUAACAUGGACCGGAGAGAGGGCCGUUCAAGCAAGCGAAAGGCAAGAAAGGCAAUGGGAGGAAUCCUAAAUUCAGGGACAAUGAAGGGUGCUUCAAGUGUGAGUUUACGGACCAUUGGAAGCGGAUUUUUCUGAUAUAGAAGGAGAAGCAUAACAAGAUGACGAAUGUCGAAAGUUCAAGCGCAACUAGUGAUGAACUUUUGACGAUUACAGAUGAGGAGCGUAACGGGAAAGUCGUGGCAAAUUCUUCAGAUAAGAGUUCUACUUUAGUUUGGAUUUUAAAUUCUAAAUGCUCUUAUCAUGUGUGUUCAAAUAAGAGUGUAUUUGAUACAUAUGAGGAAAGGAAGUGUAGCAAGAUUCUGUUGGGAGACAAAACAAGUUAUGAUGUUUUGAUUGUGAGAACAGUGAGGAUCAAUAUGCAUGACGGUGUUGUUAGCCUUAAUGAUGUAAGGUAUGUACCAACACUAAGAAGUAAUCUUAUUUCCCUUGGCACUUUAGAUAGAGAAACAUAAGUUAGUAAAAAUUAAGCGCCCCUCAACUUUCAUUGAGGGAUCCCUUAAAUAAUUUUAUUUGAGGGACACCCUUUAGAGUACCCUACGAAUUUUUUUUUCAACGAUACAACCUAUCUAUUUUUCAAUUCUUCAUUCAUAGAUCAUCCUUGCAAAACAUCAAUACCAACAAAAUCAAUGAACACGGUGCUUCAAGAAAGUACUUAAAUUUUAAUAAUUUAAUUGAAUAGUCAAAUAAUAUCUGAUUUAAGUGAUUUUUUUGUAGAGAUGAUCUUUGAAUGAAUAUCUACAAAAUAGAUUGGGAUUAGUGAAAUACAAUGCGAAAUGGACUCUACAAGGGUGUCCCUCAAAUAAGUUAUUUGAAGAGUCACUCAACCGAAACUCUGUAUAUGUGUAUAUAUAUAUAUAUAACUCCAGUAUUAACCCCUGAUAUCAUAAACAGAAAUGUAAACAAUGAAAUAAUUACACUGCGUCUCUAAUGUAAUCAUCUAGAUGAAAUGUAUAUAAACCUAACUAACCAAAGAUUAGUUAUAACAGCCAUUAACAAAUUCAAACAAACUGCCAACGACUAUAGCACCUGUCUAGAAGAAUCUGUUGGCUGGCAGCUGCUGAGAUGUACACUGUAUAGCAGCUGCUAGAAGAAAAAUGAAGGGAAAUGUAUGAAGGAAUUUGACUAUAACAGUUCAAUAAUAUCUUACAUAUUUUGUAUUUUAUAAAAGGGAGAUUCACUAUUAUAUCCAACAUAGGAGCCCAAAUUAUAAAAAAAUCUCAUAUGAAAUGGACUUUAGAAACAUACCCAAACCCCAUUUACAACAUAACAAAAAAACUUUUAACUUCUUUUAAAUUACAAAACUAUCAUUGAUUUCUUAAAACAAACCCAACCCCAAAACCUCAUUAAAAAAAGCCCAAAACAAUCAAUAGGGCAUCAAAGUAAUUUAAUAAUCAAAAUUAAAUUCAAUAGGGCCAGUUGUCAUUUUUUGGGUUUGUUUAUAGAAAUUAAAUGGUGUAGGGUUUAUUUAUAGUUUUAGUGCUAAGAAUGGGUAUAUGACUAAAUAUCUCUUUAUAAAAUUAGAAAUGAUAGCGUAAUUAUGUGCAGAAAGGGUCGAAGAACAAUGAAAAAAGAAGCCAGUUGCAAAAAAUUAGAUAUUUAAAAAAAAUUAAAUUCAUCAUGUACCUUGACAUUGAAUUACAAUAUUUACCUACUCAUAGUCUAAAAUAUGGAUAAUAUCGACAAAAUAUCGACGAUAUUAUCGUUUUUUUGGGUCACAGAUAUUUCGGAACUUAUCCAUACACAUAUUGUAUAAAUAUCGAUGUAUAUAAUUUCGCUCACACUUCAGCAAUAUUUUGUCAAAAUAUCACUAUAAUAUUGAAAAUAUCGAUGUAAUGGAAAAAAGGAAAAAAAAAAAACACAAAGCGCACACAGAAAGGGGAUCCGAACCCUUGCCAUUUCACUCCUCCAGCGUCUUAAUCACCAUAUUGCUUAUGUUUUUGUGAUAAUAAGCAAAGGAGAACUUUAUGUGGUACUAAGCCACUCAUAUAUCUUACCAUGCAAUGUAUGAAGUGUAAAAUAUUGUAGUAAAUCAUAAUAUACAAAUGAUUAUGGUGUGUUUCUUUCAUUAGUUAUUACAUAUUUUCUACAUAUACAGUGUUUGUUAGCUCGCUAUAUAAUCAACUUAAAUCAGUUAAACCCAUCAUGCAAUGCAUUUCAUUCCAAUUUUUUGUGAUAAACUAAUAGAUAAUUGACUAAAUAAACAUCCUCCAAAGUUUCAAUAAAAUUUUUCAAGUUUUUCUUACAAUUUCCUUAGUUUUUAUUCAAUAUCAAUAUUCAAUUUUUAUCGAUAUCAAUAAUAUUCCGAUAUUUCCAUCGAAAUUUCCGUAUUUUUAGACUACCGAUAUUUCUAAUACCAUCGAUAUUUUAGACUUUGCCCACUACUACUAGUGUUCAACAUCAUCUAUCCACAAAAACAUCACUUUUAAAUAUUUAUGUAUAAAAUAUCGAGCAUAUCAUGCACGAUCAUUCGAAGAAUUUGUUUGAACAUAUAUAAAUGAAAUGACCCUACAUUUGACAAUGAGGUUUACUUUAACACUUAUAUAAAACGGAAAUAAUAUUAUUUUGUUAUUUUCGAUUAAUUACAAUAUACCAUACGUAAAUAUAUCUAUUACAUAUAGUUUCUUUAAAAAAAAUAUAUAUCUAUUUACAUAUAUAGUUAAGAUUCAGCGAGGACUUCUAAUGUAGUUUAAAGCAUAUACAAUAUCUACGAUGCUGUCGAAAUAUAAUUUUCAUAUAUUUUUUUAAAAGGUAAAAUCACAUUACUGUGCUUCUAUAUUUGAAAAAUGAAAUUUUAAGCAAUUUUCAUAUUAUGUAUAGCUCUUUCAUUUCUAUGUUUUUUUUUUCCCUAUUUCCUUCUGGUUUUUAUUAACUCCUCCCACCUAGCAAACUUUCUACACCCAACAAGAUUUUAGAAACUUAAUAAUUUACUCUCAACACCCAUAAAAUCUUCAAGAACUAACGCAUCAUCAAAUAAACCUAGUUUUACCCUCAACCUUUCCUCCACUUAUUUCUAAACUUCUUCAUGUAACAUGAUUUUUUUGGUGAGUCCUUAUUUAGUUAGGAUUUUGGUUUCUUAUUUAGUUAGAAUUUUGGUUACUUACCAAUUAUUAUUUAGUCCUAUUGUGUCUGCGUGAAUUAGCUAAAGUUGAUUUGGAAGAAAUGCUGUCAUUGUUGUUGCCGUUGUCAUUGUUGCCGUCGUUGAUAUUGUCUUUGCUUUCUUUGCUUUCCGUUGCUAUGGUCAUUGAUGUUGUUGUGACCAUGCCAUUUGCCUUGCCUUGCCUUUACUUUGCCUUUGCUUUGUCUUUGCCUUUCCUUUUCCUUGCUUUACCCUAUUUUUAGAGUUUGGUUUUGCCUUUGCCUUUGUCAUACCUUACCCUAUUUUUAGGGUUUGGGUUUGCCUUACCUAUUGCCGUGCUCAUAGGAUUUCUCUAUUAUGCCUUACCUACUACUGUGCUCAUAGGGUUUCUAUGUUCUGUCUUAUCUACUACCAUACUCACAAGGUGUUUGUGUUUUGUCUUAUUGCCUUGCUCGCAGGGUUUGUGUUUUGUCUUAUCUACUGCCGUGCUCACAUGGUUUAUGUGUUCUGCCUUAUCUACUGUCGUGCUCACAGGGUUUCUAUAUUAUACUUUUAUGUGAUCUUCUAUGUGCUCUAUUUGUUAGGGUUUGUCAGUGCCGUGCUCACAUGUUUUCUGUGUUCUGCCUUAUCUACUACCAUACUCACAAGGUUUGGGUUUUCUCUUGUGUUUCCGCUGCGAUCUUUGCUUUGGUUUGUCAGUUGGUCCACUCAUGGUUGAUGAAAAGAACUUCUCUAUAAUUUGUUUGUCUCAAGUUGGGCAUGUGAAACAUCUUUGUCUCAACUUGAGGCGAAAUGUUGGCGAGUCCUUAUUUAGUUAGGAUUUUGAUUUCUUAUUUAGUUAGAAUUUUGGUUACUUACCAAUUAUUAUUUAGUCCUAUUGUAAUAGUGAUUUAUUUCCCAUUGUAAUUUAGAUAUAUUUUCUAUUUUAUUAAGGAUUAACAUAUCUUUGUAUUUGUAUAAAUACUUUUAUAUUGAAGAAGAAUAAUAAUAUAAGCAUAUGAGCAUAUGUCACAUCCCGGGAUCGACUCCGCCGUAGCACGAUAUUGUCCGCUUUGGGCCCCCUCUCUCUGGCCCUCACGGUUUUACUUCUGGGAGCUCACGAGCAACUUCCCAGUGGGUCACCCAUCCUGGGAUUGCUCUGGCCCCCAACUCGCUUAACUUCGGAGUUCCUACGACUCCGAAGUCAGUGAGCUCCCAAAAGGCCUCGUGCUAGAUGGAUGCGGGUGUGCACAUAUAAGGCACAUCACCUUCUCUCCGUUGGUUGAUGUGGGAUCUAAAAUCCACCCCCCUUAAGGGCCCGAUGUCCUCGUCGGCACACUCGCACCACACGGCAAAGUGGCUCUGAUACCAAAUUGUCACAUCCCGGGAUCGACUCCGCCGUAGCACGAUAUUGUCCGCUUUGGGCCCCCCCUCUCUGGCCCUCACGGUUUUGCUUCUGGGAGCUCACGAGCAAUUUCCUAGUGGGUCACCCAUCCUGGGAUUGCUCUGGCCCCCAACUCGCUUAACUUCGGAGUUCCUACGACUUCGAAGCCAGUGAGCUCCCAAAAGGCCUCGUGCUAGAUGGAUGCGGGUGUGCACAUAUAAGGCACAUCACCUCCUCUCCGUUGGUUGAUAUGGGAUCUUACAGCAUAACUGAAUAUUUAUCUUACUUUAUUUGACAGAUCCAUAUCCUCUCUAAUCGUGGAGGUUGUUCUUAUUUCAAUUGGCUUUUCAUUUUACGCCUCACCUAUCUUUUUCCUUCUUCAUAUCCAUUAAAAGUAUAGCCUGUUGUAUCACUUUCAUAAUUUAAUCUCCGUGGAGUCUGAAAUCUUUUGGCCCUUUGGUUAAAGUGAAAAAUGUCAUUGAUGUCUGUCGCCAGAGCCAUGUGGCAGAAGCACAAGGACGAUUAUGGUUAUGUGGAAUAUAUGCAUGCAGCUGCCCUUGAAUUUUUUUAAUUUUUGUGUGUAAUUCUGUAAUGGACGUAGAUACAAACAAAUUAAUUAGGUCCUCAUUGGCAUUCACACAUGCAAAUUCAAAAUAUGUGUGAGAAUGUGAAGGUAAAAAUGUCUUAUAUUGAAAAAUUAAUAAAUUUUGAAAGAGUUUAUAAGGAGUUAGGUUACUUCCCCUAUUGUCAGUUGAUUUUAAAGUAGAACCUCAACGUGCUGUAAUUAUUUAUGUCCUCGAUUGCCUAAGAUUUCAUGUCCCCAUUCACACAUGUAGAUGGCGAGGACACCUCUUGAUUUAACCUAAUUUUUUUUUAUAUCCACACACACGCAAUCUCAUGCAUUUUAAGUCUAAUAUGCGAACAAUUUAACUAGGUGACGCAAAGCACAUGUAGCCGUCACAUGGGCAAAUUUAACCUGACUUUGAUGCCAAUAAGAAAGUUGAGAAUCCAUUCCAAAAUUAAAUAUUGACUAUAAAAGGAGUAGUUUAACUCUUUAUAAAUCUAUGCAAGAGUUCUUAAGUUUGUAAGUUCAUAAUUCUGUUAGGUUGUUAUUAGUUAGUUAGAUGAGAUAAUCAAUCAAGUAUUUAGUUGAUUAAUUGUGCAUUGACAGAGUAUGAUCUUCAAUAUUAAUGACAAUGAAAUAAUUACACUGAGGUUUAUAUACAUCUCACCUAAGCUGACAUUAGAGGCUAACUAACCAAAGAUUAGUUAUAACAGCGAUCAACAAAUUCUAACAAACUGCUAACGGCUAUAACAGCUGUCUAGAAGAAUCUGUUGGCUGCUGACUUGCUGCUGAGAUAUAUAUAUAUAUAUAUAUAUCCACAAACACUCCCCACCGACUAUAGUGUUCAACGUCAUCGAUCCACAAAAACUUCAUAGUCAAGACAAAUCUAGUAAAGCACCAGUACACAUGUAUCAUGCGCACAACCAUUCCAAGAAUUUGUUUGCACAUAGCAUAUAUAAAUGUAUCAUGCACAACCAUUGUUUUGUUUUCUUCCACUAACAACCUACCAUUCUCAGAGACUAAUACGUACAAAUUGUCAAGACAUGUACAUGUGUAGUUUGAGAGCUCGAAUUAUCCAUCCUACAAUUAUAUAUAUGGCUUUCUUUGUUAUUAGAGUUUGAACCUGAGAUUACUGACUUCUUAAUACUAUACCUUUAUUUCCCUAUUUCCUUCCGGUUAUCAUUAACUCGUCUCACCUAGCAAACUAACUUUAUACACCCAACAAGAUUUUAAAAACUUAACCCAGCAAAUCUUCAAGGACUACGCAUCACCAAAUAAACCUAGUUUUACAUUCAACAUUUCCUCCACUCAUUUCUAAACCUCUUCAUGUAACAUGAUCCAUAUCCUCUGUAAUCGUGGAGGUUGUUCUUAUUUCAUUUUACGCCUCAGCUAUCUUUUUGGCUUCAUAUCCAUUAAAAGAAGGUAAAGUAUAGCAUGUUGUAUCACUUUCAUAAUUUAGUCUCUGUGGAGUCUGAAAUCUGAAGUGAACGCGUGGAACAAAGAGUACGAAAUCUCUUGCCCCUUUGAUUAAAGUGAUGAUAAUGCCAUUGAUGCCACAUGCAAAUAGUUCAAGAUCGGUCAGAAAAGCUAACAUUAUUUCCUUCCAGUUAUGGCAGAGAUACUUCUGUCGCCAGAGCCAUGUGGCAGAAGCACAAGGACGAUUAUGGUUUUGUGGAAGAGAUGCAUUCAUCUGCCCUUGAAUUUUGUAAUGGACGAACAUAUACAAACAAAUUAAUUAGGUCCCCAUUGGCAUUCAAACAUGCAAAUUCCAACUUUGAUUCAAACAUACAAAGCUUGUAAAGUCCUAUCCAAAGCUUGUGAUCACAUGUCCAACUUUUCCUAAUUCGAAGAGGAAAUUAUUAGAUGAGAAAUUCUUUGGUGGGGCUUCGAUCGUUAACCAAGAUUUUUUACUAAAACCAUUUAUACUAUAAGUACAUGUACUUAUUUGUUAAUAUUAUAGGCUCUAGGUUCAUGGUAUUGAGAGUGUUUAGAAAAUGAAAGUUUUUAAGUGUUUAAAAAAUUUUGGGCCUCUCCACUUAUUGUAAAUUAAUUUCGAAUUAGAUGCUCACAUUUUAAAAGAUAGAAUAUCAACUCGUACUAUAGUAAUAUUAUGUUAUCUGAAUCAAUAACCCUAUUUGACGGUUUAUAAUUGUCACAACCAAAUUUUUUUAGAUUUUUUAAAAUUAAAAUUUCGAACUUUUAGAGAUUUAGGAUUGAGUGAAUUUCACUAAACCACAUCAAUUGGAAGCAUAUUUGCCUUUCAGACCAAUAUCCUUGAUUCUUUUGUUAAUGCUUGGUUGCUGGAAUGAAUUGAAAUGAGCACAGAAACGAGAAUGAAAAUAAGAACGGAAGGGAACCAUUUAAGCCUUGAAUAUAAUUUCCAUUUUCAUUGUUUCGUUUGGUUCCUCUAACAACCAUCAUUCUCAGAGGACGUAAAAUUGUCAAGACUGUACAUGUGUGGCACGAGAGCUCGAAUCUCCUCUGACGCUAAUUGUUGUCUAGAUAUGGCUUUGUUUCUCGACCAAAAAGUUUUGCUCUCAAAUAUAAUUCCUCUUCUUCUUUUUUUUUAAUUUUUUUAUUUUUAGUACAAGGGAAGGAUUUCUCACAUACAAAUAAUAUCAUAGGAGUUCGAACCCGAAACAUCUUAUUAGCAAACUUUUAUUUCCAUAUUUUCUGCUGGUUAUUAACUCUUCCCACCUACCUACAGCAAACUGUUGGAAAAUUUAAUAUUAACUAAUAUUGAUUUUCCUAUUUGAAUGGAAAUUAAUAAAAUCCAUUGGGUUAAAGACAUCUUCACAUGGGGGGUGAUAACUCUUCAAACCAAGGGAUGCAUUGUUUGGGGUGACAACUCUUCAGACCAAGGAAUGCAUUGUUUGCCUUUUCAGAUUGGGAUACCUUUUUGGAAAGGGUAUUUCAUCAUCUAUAAAUAGAGCAAUCCUCCUACAGUUUUAUUCAUUCAGUUUAAUUCUCUACAUAUAGACUUUCACAUAUAGAAAGCAUUAGAGUUUUCAUAAAGAGAGGUUCCUGCAUAAUUUUGGUUCAAAGUUCCUUGUGAAUUGCAGUGCUUCUUUCAUAAGGAGGGGAGUCGUUGUAUCCUGGGAGGCGAACGCUAGUGAACCAUAAGCACCAGUGUGGGGCGUAAUUCGUCUUAAGGUCAGAGUGUCCAACACUUGCCUCGACUCAAUUAAGGUUCUUCUAAUGCAAUUAUGCUUUGUAAAAAUCUGUUUUAUGUGUAGUAGUUAUUUUGUUUAUUUUAUAGCAAUUAAGCACUCAUAUUUUCCAACACAAACUUUCUACACCCAACAGGAUUUUAAAAUUUUAAUAAUUUUGCUGUCCACACCCAUCUAGCAAAUCUUGAAGAAGCAUACAUCACCAAAUGAAUAAACCUAGCUAGUUUUAAAACUCAACACUUUCUCCACUCAUUUCUAAAAACCAUAUGAUCCAAAUCCCAUAUCUUUGUUUUGUUUGGCUCUAAUCGUGGUGAGUUAUUGGAUCUUGUCAUCGUUCUUCAUUUGUCUUUUCAUUUUACAGCUCACCGAUAUCUUCAUAUCCUUUUAAGUUUUCCUGUGGCCUGUUGUAUCACUUUCAUAUAACUUAAGUUUCCGGUACCCUUUUGGACGUUUGUUUAAAGUGACAAUGGCAUUAGUGCCGCAUGCGAGGGUUCAAGAUGGUCCAAAAAAUGGUAAAUAUUAUUUCCUUCCAGAUCUGGCAGAGACAUGUCUUCGAUUAAAGUGACAUUGACGUAAGUAGAAACAAACAAAUUAAUUAUUUAAUUAGGUCCCCGUUGGCAUUCACACGUGCUGAAUCCCAACGUGCUGUAUAUAUUUCUAUCCAGUUAUGGCAGAGACAUGUCUAUCACCAGAGCCAUGUGGCAGAAGCACAAGGCGAUUAUGGUUUUGUGGAAGAUAUGCAUGCAGCUGCCGUUGAAUUAUUUAUUUAUUUAUUUAUUUAUUUAAUUCUGUAAUGGACGUACAUACAAACAAAUUCAUUAGGUCCCCAUUGGCAUUCACACAUGCAGAUAAUAUAACGAGAACAGGUGAGGAUUCAUCGAUUGCGGAGUCAGGAUUUCACAUAUAAGAGGCAUCUCACAAAAUAUAUAUCACCAAGUAAAGUGAUUGAUAUCUACCCUUUGUCUUAUUGUUAUUAUUAUUAUUAUUUCUGGUGAUGAAUACUCUUGGUUCAUUUAUCAUUAUCACUAAGCUUAUAUAGUUUAUCAUUAUGCACAUCACAUGAUUCUUGCUUUGGUUUUUGCCAUUCAUAUCUGACAUCAAAUGUCUCCACUUGAUUGGUUUCAAUUUUUUUGUCCGAGUUUCUUGACUAUGAAUAUGAUAUAAGUGCCAGAAGCCAAGGCCUGCUGGGAUUAUCUUAUCUUCGAGGACAUAAAGACGACGAGUAUUUAGAAUUUUAUCUUUUGGUAACAAGAUUUGUAUUUAUUUAUUACUAAACCCAUGUGUUAGAUUAAUUAGAUUCUAAUAACAACCGUAACCAAAACCUAGUGCCACCCCAAAGUUUGGUCAAAUAUUAACUUUAUUAUUGAAGCUCAAGAUUUGGGUUUUGGUUAAGAAAACACAGAGACUGAUUUUUGGAAUUCUUUUUUGGAGCUUGAAUUUGUUAUAGGGCAAAACAAAAAGGGAAAUAUUAGCAACUUUCUCUCUAAUUUUCUUCUUUAAACCUUCUUCAUUUUCCUCAUGAUAUGUGUCAUUCUCCUAACACUUAAAACAAUGUCAUUAAUGCAUUAUACAAGCUAAAUAUAUAUUUUUUUUUUCUAAAUUUACCCUAUUCAAUUAUCCUUUUUUUUUUGACAACUUUCUUACCAUCUUAAUAAAAAGUGUUUUUUUUAAUGUCAAUUAUUUUUUUGAAAGAAAAUGUCUGCUUUUUUAAAACAGAGGAAAUGUAUGUUUUUUUUUUUAACCCAAAAGAAAUGUCAAGUUUCUAUAAAAGACGUCAUUCACAUCCGUAAGCACCCCAAUGGUAUAGAGUUUACAGACUAACUUUUUUUUUCAAAGAAAAUUGUUUGAUUGCAUUUUUUUUAUACUACUAAAUAAACCAAAAUAACCCCUAACAACAUAAGCUUGAGAUCAAAUAAAUAGAAGCAAAAGAAAAAAAAAAUCACCAAAAUCGAAUUUGAUAUGAAAAAAAUAAAUAUAUUACAGUUUAGAUUAACAAAAGAAGAACGAAAGAAUGGUCUGCAUCUGUACUAUACAAAUGGCUAUAAUAUGUUGUUCUACUCUAUUUUUAUUAUUUCUUAAUGGUCGUGAAGAUAAACAUUUAUAACAACCCAAGGCAAAAGGCUUAGAGGAGAGCCAAAACCUGUACAAAUAAGAAGCAAAGACCAGCAAAUUUGUUAAAUUUCACAUACCGACAAACAAAUACCCAUAUAAAUGACUUAUGCAAAGAUGCAGGCCGCAAACAAAUACCCAUUAACCUAAGAAAAUAGUUCCAAAAUAUAUCAAUUUUCAGCACAAUAAUAUUCCAAAAACGAAAAAACCAUAUCUUUGGCCUUAGACUUGGAGCGAGAGAAGCUUAACAAGAAGACUAUUGGCAACAAAGUUGGUUGAUAUAAAUUUUAUUAAUACAGUCAAUCAGUUCAUAGACAGAGAAGCAGAAAAAGAGUGCAUUUUGUGGUUGAGAGUUGAAAAGGCACGGAGAAUUCUUCUGAGCGACAAAGCUAGGAGAAGACGUCCAACAAAAUGACAAGGAGAAGAAGACGCUUUAGCUUCUAUCAAGGGCAAAUAUGGAAAUAUAAUAAUUAUUAUUUUUGUAAUUAAUAGCACUGUUUCAAGUGUAAAGAGAGUAACACACGUCAUGAAAAAAAAAAUCCAAAAAAAAAAAAAUUAAAGAAAAAAUUACUAGUAUUCUCCAAACAAAAAUAUUCGGGUACAAAAGAGAACAAGAGAUAAUCGGCUACGCGGCUUGCACCUGAUCAAAUUCAAAACCGAAAGGACUGAAAACUGGCCUGGCCACCCCCCACCUCCUCUCUCUUAAAAAAGAGACAAUAAAGGGUCAUUUCUCUGCUCCCACUACUCGAAGCUCCCGUGAUAUUUAUGAUGGCCCUUUGUCUGAAAUGUCUGUUUUAGUGUCCCAAAAAAAAACAAAACAAAAUAGACUUAUUAUAUUAUGUACCACCUCUCUAAUAGAGGUCGGUCUUAUUAUAUUGGUAGACUCCACUUUUAUUGGAGAUGUGGUAUACAAUGUGAUAUAAAAAUGUGAUAAGCCUAAUAUUACCCAAAAAAUAUUGUCUGUUUCUGUGAGUAAUUUGACUCGGAGAUAAUAUGGAAAGUAAGUUAGUAGAACGAGAUUCACGUGUCACUACCGUAAAAACUGAAAAUGGCUAUAAAUAGGGCAGGCGUAUUGCAAGUAUGCUGCACCAACAGCGAGCUACGAGAGCCAAUUCUCCUUGUUCAUUAUUAGCCCUGCCCUAGCCUUUGAAAUUCCUCAGCCAACCAUCACCAUGCUAGGCUUAGCAAACAAUGUGGUUAGCAAGGUGGCCUCAGUCGUCACUGGUCACCAUGAGCUUAGCCUGUUUUCCAUGUCUGACAAGAAAAUCUUGGACGAAAUUUAUGCAACUCAUCAUGUCAAUGUUGAUACUUCCUUUGAUGACGAUUCUCUUUUUGGCAUUGUUGAAAACAUCCUCAAGCAUGCAACCCAAACUGUUGACAAAAUUGUGCAGGUACGUUUAUUUUCUUAGUAUGGGAUCUGUUAUGUUAUUAAACUGUCGAUUCUUGAUUAUUAUUAUAGUUAUGUUGUGAUUUGAAUGUGUUACAUAAACUUGUGGGUUGUUGCAGGGUACCCAAGUGCACGUGGAAAACAUAGAGGAGCACACUCCCAAAGCCAGCUUCAGUACACCACUGUGCACACUUAAGUCAAUAGCCAGCGAGGUAACUUCAAAAAAUAAAUGAUUUUUAUAUAUUUCUUGUAACAUUUUUCAUGUAUGUACAUAAUACAUUAGUACGCUUUUUUGUGUUGCAAAUUAACACUAUGAUAAACUUGGUUUUUUUCAGAUGCAAUGCAAACCUCCUAGUGAGGAAGUCGCCCACAAAACUACCCUGGCAAUACUGAACAAGCUGUCAAGCUAUUCAUGGGAAGCAAAGGCAGUGUUGACUCUGGCAGCUUUUGCUAUGGAAUAUGGGGAGUUCUGGCUCCUUGCCCAGCUUCAGGAAUCGCACCGACUUGCCAAAUCAAUUUCAAUCCUGAAGAGAGUCCCUUUCCUCCUCAAGCCAUCAAACCUGCAAAAAAGAAGGCAAGCAGUGCUUGAGCUUAACAACUUGAUCAAGACUACAUUGCAAGUUAUCGAGAUCUUCGAUCAGUUCGAUAAGCUUUCUAGUUAUGACCCAAAAGAUGUGCCGGAGUUGGCAUCAGCAAUGGACCAUAUUCCAGUGGAUGUGUAUUGGGCUACUGUGACUGUUGUUGCUUGUGCAACUAAGGUCACUAUUCUUACCAGUGAUGUGUACGUUCUUCAUCCUCAAUAACUUUGAAAAAUACUUAUUUGCAUGUAUGUUUAGUAUACUUUAUAAUAUGACCAUGGUUGCCUUUGUUUCAGGGAGAAGGAACAUGACCUAGCCCCAUAUGCUCAAAAAAUCCACUUCGUCCUGAACAAGCUUAAGAUUCAGCUGAAAAUUUGCAGAACACAGAUUGGUGUGUAAUUACUGGCACAUCUUUCAUUAGGAAUCAUAUUAACUAUAUGUUGUACCUUGCAAUUAAUGAAAUGCUGAAGAAAAUAUUUAUUGUUUAAUCCAGAGGAGGCGGAGACUUACCGGAAGCUCAAGAAAACCUUUCGAACCCCUACUGAAGUAAAGGAGGUUUUCAAGGCCCUGAUCUUUACCAAGGACAAUGUUCAGCCACUGAUUGAUGGUUCCACUAAACAAACGGUUUGCGCUACUGACCUUAUUCUGAGUCAUGACAUUUUAUAAUUAUACACCACAUCUUUUAUAGAGUGAAACUGUGGUGGCGGGCCAUGAUUUUAAUUUAGUUUGAAGUAUGACAAGUUAGUUACACCAUUCCUAAUUAUUAUACCAGGUUGAGAUCGACAUCCUGAGGAAGAAGAAUAUACUACUGUUCAUUUCAAGCCUCGAAAUCUCCGAUGAUGAUAUUUCUAUCCUCAAACCGAUUUACGAGUCCACUAAGAAAGACAAUCAGCAUAAGAUUGUGUGGGUUCCAAUUGUCGAGCAGUGGACCGAUGACCUGAGAAAGAAGUUUGAGACCCUGAGGCUGAAGAUGCCAUGGUACACAGUGCAGAACCCUGCAACCAUUGCCGGCAUCAGGUUCAUCAAGGAGGAGUGGAACUUCAAGGGUAAGCCUACAUUGGUGGUGAUGAACCCACAAGGAAAGGUCGAACAUUCCAACGCAUUCCACAUGAUUCGGGUUUGGGGAACUCAGGCCUUCCCUUUCACAGAAACAACCGAAAAAGAACUCUCAAAUUCUCAUGGACAUAAAUGGGUUGGCAAUGUAGUCAAAGAGAUUCACCCGACUCUACCCAACAUGGUAAGUUACUUUUAACUAAUAAACCAAAGUGCAUAUAUUAUUUGGAUCUAUGAUGUGCAUUUAAUGAUAAAGCACGCUUUUUUUGUGGUUGAAUUAUUUUGAUGGAACAGAUGAAGGACGAUAAGUACGUUUUCUUCUAUGGAGGCAAAGACAAUGAGUGGAUUAACCAAUUCACAAAGAAAGCAACUGCCUUUGUAAACGACCCCAUCUUCAAGGAAGCAAAGAUUCACAUUGAGCUGUUUUGCGUGGGGAAAGGCAGCAAGGGAGAAGAUGACCACGGCAUCCUCGGGCGCUUCUGGACUGGCAUAGAAAGCUUGUUUCACACCAAGAUUCACAAGGAGCCCGACUCAGUCUCACAAGAAAUCCAGAAGCUGCUUUCUUACAAGAACGAAAGUGGAUGGGCGGUGCUCAGCAAAGGGCAUUCUUUGGUUGUCACUGGUCAUGGUGUCUCAAUCUUGAAGGUCAUAGAGGACUUUGACAAAUGGAAGGACCAUGUGAAAGAGAAGGGCUUUGAGUUUUGCUUCACAACAUACCAUGAG